AAUUAAAUAGCUUAAGUGAAAAUGCUUAAUCAAAAUAAAAUAUUUACAUUUAUUUCUGUAGAGGUGACAGCAAAAGAGAAAUGCCAGCCAGUUUACCUGUCUGCUCCUCCUCUAACUAGUUUCAGAUUUAUUAAGCAUCUGGGAGGAAGAGAACAGGAGUUGUAUGAGGACUGAGCUAGCAGUGGCAAUGAUUGCAAUAAUGCAAGAAUUUCUUUAUGUCUUUCUUUUUAUGUUGUGUUGUCCCAACACCUGACAUGAAUGGAGCUGAUGGAUAUUUUUCUACUGGCUUUUACCUUAGAGGAAACAAAUCUACUGACAAGAGAAGCUCAAGGAAGACUUUUGAAGCAAUGUGAUUAGGCUUUUUAUCCUGACUUGUGUCACAGUUUGAACUUCAUACUUCUUGAUUUCUAAUGCAGCUUUCAACAACAAAAGGGAGAGAACACCUAAGGUAGUUUGGGAAUGCCAGUAAAUGUGGAAAUUAUGGAAAUGGCAUCCACUGAAGUUUGAAAAGCAGAAUAAGAUAUCACACCUCUGUAAAGCACCAUCAAGGGAAGAGACUCCUGGGCAAGACAUGCUCCACAAGCCUAAACUAGAAAGUAUCAUGAAGCUGAUAACAUGCAUUCAUUAGCUUCUAACUGGAAAUUUUGGAGGCCUAUUUUCCUGUUAUGUUAUCAACAUCCCACUGCAAGGAUGAAUGAAGUGAUAUAUCUGGCUCGUGGACCAAGACAUGAAGAGUGUUUUCCCUUGCUCUUAACAGAUGCCAGCAGCAGCACACAGCUGAACUGACUCUUCCAAAAGUUAAUCCCUUUUGAACAUGGCUGCUGAUAUGUUCAUACCUCAUGCUUAUAUGUCUUGGCUUUUAGUUUUACGUAUUGAAUUGCUCGGAGAAGGUCAAUAUGUACAGCAACAAAAUUCCCACUGACUACAUGAGUCCAGCUGCUCCUGCCCCAUAUUUCCAUCAGAUUCCCACCUCUGUCUGAAUAUAGCAAUGAUAUAAUUGGAUUGCACAAGAGCAAAGCUGACUGUUUUAAGGCCAGGUGGUAGAAAUAUUUUGCUUUGAGCAUAUUUAUUUCUUCAGUGUAUUUUACAGACAUUCUAACACAUUGCUCUGUUUUAGGUAAGAAUUAAAGCCAAGCUGCUUAACCCAGGGCUUUUGCAGCACUAGGUCAGACAACAGUAUAUUGCUUUACAUAAGUUUACCACUGUUGUUAACCUGUACAUCCUAAUGUGUGGCCUGUGUACAGUGCUAUGUCUAAGUAUGCAUGUGGACAAAUCUUUUGUAUGCAUGUAUUUAAUAUCUUGGAGAAGGGACAGAACUAAGCAAAGCUUAUAAAAA
rnacentral:lncRNA from 1 species